rnacentral:rRNA from 1 species
GUCAUUGCUAUUGGAGUUCGAUUUAGCCAUGCUAGUUGCACGAGUUUAGACUCGUGGCGGAAAGCUCAGUAACACGUGAUCAAACUACCCUAUGGAUUCGAAUAACCUCGGGAAACUGAGGCUAAUUCGGAAUAAGGCUCCAUCGCUGGAAUGCGUGGAGCUGGAAACGCUCCGGUGCCAUAGGAUGUGAUUGCGGCCGAUUAGGUAGACGGUGGGGUAACGGCCCACCGUGCCGAUAAUCGGUACGGGUUGUGAGAGCAAGAGCCCGGAGAUGGAUUCUGAGACAAGAAUCCAGGCCCUACGGGGCGCAGCAGGCGCGAAAACUUUACACUGCACGACAGUGCGAUAAGGGAACUCCAAGUGCGAGGGCAUAACGUCCUCGCUUUUGUGUAUCGUAAGGUGGUACACGAAUAAGAGCUGGGCAAGGCCGGUGCCAGCCGCCGCGGUAAUACCGGCAGCUCAAGUGAUGACCAAUUUUAUUGGGCCUAAAGCGUCCGUAGCCGGCCAGACAGGUCCGUCGGGAAAUCUGCUCGCUCAACGAGCAGGCGUCCGGCGGAAACCCGCUGGCUUGGGGCCGGAAGAUCCAAGGGGUACGUCUGGGGUAGGAGUGAAAUCCUGUAAUCCUAGACGGACCACCGAUCGCGAAAGCACCUUGGAAGGACGGACCCGACGGUGAGGGACGAAAGCUAGGGUCACGAACCGGAUUAGAUACCCGGGUAGUCCUAGCUGUAAACGAUGCUCGCUAGGUGUGGCACAGGCUACGAGCCUGUGCUGUGCCACAGUGAAGACGUAAGCGAGCCGCCUGGGAAGUACGUCCGCAAGGAUGAAACUUAAAGGAAUUGGCGGGGGAGCACUACAACCGGAGGAGCCUGCGGUUUAAUUGGACUCAACGCCGGACAUCUCACCAGCAUCGACAAUAGCUGUGACAGUCAGUGUGAUGAGCUUACUAGAGCUUUUGAGAGGAGGUGCAUGGCCGCCGUCAGCUCGUACCGUGAGGCGUCCUGUUAAGUCAGG